CUGUUCCAUGCCCCAAGUACCUCUUUCAUAUUGACACAAACCACAAACUGAUACGGUAUAACAUUGUCAUAUUUGGAGGCAUUGAUGGUUUCUCACGCAAGAUAAUGUACUUGAAUGCGGAUGACAACAACAGGUCC